AGAGUAAUGUCUGGGAAACUGCCUGAUGGAGGGGGAUAACUACUGGAAACGGUAGCUAAUACCGCAUAACGUCGCAAGACCAAAGAGGGGGACCUUCGGGCCUCUUGCCAUCAGAUGUGCCCAGAUGGGAUUAGCUAGUAGGUGGGGUAACGGCUCACCUAGGCGACGAUCCCUAGCUGGUCUGAGAGGAUGACCAGCCACACUGGAACUGAGACACGGUCCAGACUCCUACGGGAGGCAGCAGUGGGGAAUAUUGCACAAUGGGCGCAAGCCUGAUGCAGCCAUGCCGCGUGUAUGAAGAAGGCCUUCGGGUUGUAAAGUACUUUCAGCGGGGAGGAAGGUGUUGAGGUUAAUAACCUCAGCAAUUGACGUUACCCGCAGAAGAAGCACCGGCUAACUCCGUGCCAGCAGCCGCGGUAAUACGGAGGGUGCAAGCGUUAAUCGGAAUUACUGGGCGUAAAGCGCACGCAGGCGGUCUGUCAAGUCGGAUGUGAAAUCCCCGGG
rnacentral:rRNA from 1 species